rnacentral:rRNA from 1 species
UACGUAGGGUGCAAGCGUGUCCGGAUUUAUUGGGCGUAAAGAGCUCGUAGGCGGUUUGUCGCGUCGGAUGUGAAAACCCAGGGCUCAACCCUGGGCCUGCAUUCGAUACGGGCAGACUAGAGUAUGGGCAGGGGAGACUGGAAUUCCUGGUGUAGCGGUGAAAUGCGCAGAUAUCAGGAGGAACACCGGUGGCGAAGGCGGGUCUCUGGGCCAAAACUGACGCUGGAGGAGCGAAAGCGUGGGGAGCGAACAGG